rnacentral:tRNA from 1 species
GUAGGUAUAGCUCAAGUGGUAGAGCACAUGCUUAGCAUGCACAAGGUCCUGGGUUCAAUCCCCAGUACCUCCU